rnacentral:rRNA from 1 species
GGUUGAUCCUGCCAGUAUUAUAUGCUGAUGUUAAAGAUUAAGCCAUGCAUGUGUAAGUUUAAAGACCAAGUAGGAUGAAACUGCGGACGGCUCAUUAUAACAGUAAUAGUUUCUUUGGUUAGUACGUACAAGGAUAACUUUGUGAAUGAUAAAGCUAAUACUUGAGACGUUCGGCGGAGUAUUAUACUUCGCUGCCGCUCUACGCAAGUGGAGCGAGAAAUGACAUUCUUCUGUGAGAAAGGAUGCCACGACAAUUGCAGAAAGCAACGCUUUUUACAAGUAACCAAUGGGAA